UACGUAGGCAGCAAGCGUUGUUCGGAGUUACUGGGCGUAAAGGGUGUGUAGGCGGUUCUUUAAGUUUGGUGUGAAAUCUCCCGGCUCAACUGGGAGGUGCGCCGAAUACUGAGGGACUUCGAGUGCGGGAGAGGAAAGUGGAAUUCCUGGUGUAGCGGUGAAAUGCGUAGAUAUCAGGAGGAACACCGGUGGUGUAGACGGCUUUCUGGACCGUAACUGACGCUGAGACACGAAAGCGUGGGUAGCAAACAGG
rnacentral:rRNA from 1 species